rnacentral:tRNA from 1 species
UUCCUGGGGGUCCAACAGCUAAGACGCUACGAUCCCAAUGCAGGGGGCCCAGGUUCAAUCCCUGGUCAGGGAA